UACGGAGGGGGCUAGCGUUGUUCGGAAUUAUUGGGCGUAAAGCGCGCGCAGGCGGUUUCUUAAGUCUGAUGUGAAAGCCCACGGCUCAACCGUGGAGGGUCAUUGGAAACUGGGGAACUUGAGUGCAGAAGAGAAAAGCGGAAUUCCACGUGUAGCGGUGAAAUGCGUAGAGAUGUGGAGGAACACCAGUGGCGAAGGCGGCUUUUUGGUCUGUAACUGACGCUGAGGCGCGAAAGCGUGGGGAGCAAACAGG
rnacentral:rRNA from 1 species